CUAGUCACUAUAAGUCGGGUUGUCCAUUGUUGAAGAAAGACAAAGGAAAAGACAAACGUCACAAGAAAUCUAGCAAAGUUAGAAGAGCAUACAUUGCAUGGGAGAGCGAUAGUAAGUGUCGCACCUCAAAAAUUAUGAUAAUGCGAUCCCUCGCGAUGGGACGCGGAAAAAUGUUAGUUCGAACAGAGUCGCCACCGAACUUUA
rnacentral:lncRNA from 1 species